CGAAGGGCUGGAGGCAAACACCGAGUUCCCCCAGAGCCGCCCGGGAGCAGGGAGGGCUCCGCCACCCCGGGGGGCCCUCCCCGCGGGGCAGAUGAGUUCAGAAUGCAGAAUCUCUGAGCUGUAUUUUCGGGUCCCCCAAGCAUUCCAUCCUCUCGACUCUCCAUAAACUUUUGGACUCAUAACCCACUCCAUACUUGAGAAAAUGGGGAUUGGAAUAAGGUAUGUCCAACAUGCUGAGGGUGCAGAGGUGAAUCAGAGGAUGCACUGUUAGUGGGGGAGAUGGACAGAGCUGCCACCUUCACAGAAGCUGCUGGUUCAAGACAAACUGAGGAGGGUGACCAGAAGACACUCCUAUCUUUUCAAUAUGGCACAUCACCACCCUAUGUUUAGAGGGUGAACUUCAGAGCACAGAAUUUAAAGAUGAAAGGAACGUAAGAGGAUACAUGAGUCAAGUUUUCUAUAUGUGUCUCCCUUGUAGAUCAUACCUGAUAGUCAUCCAGACUGACCUGAGAAUUUUCCAAUGACAAAAAUAUCCUACCUUUUUCAUUUUUAUGCUGAUAGAUGAGUAUUUAGAGCACAAAAAGUGUUCAAUCACAAGGCCAAAAAGGAAAAAAAAUUCCUAAUCCUGCCACCCUUUAAAAUAUCAACUAUUUUUAACUUUUAUUACUAUGUUACUGAUCCAGGACCCCCCAGUCUCAAGUAAAUACAACCAUUUAGGGUCCAUGAGGAAUGUAAAGGAGCUGAACCAUUGGGCUUAAAGACAUUUUGGAGAUUUUAUUUGUCCAUGGUACCAAUCAUACCAUGAGAGUCAGAUCUUGCAAAGAAAAGUUGUGUAUAGAAUUUAGAACCCUCAGUAGCACAGUGUUUUCUGAAUCUCUUCCUAAUCAUGCCCUUUUGUCACUCUGACACCCGUACAAUAAAAGAAAAUUUCUGAGAUUAUCUUAUUGAGGGAUCUUUCCAACAUUUACACAUACUAUCUAACAAUGUGUUCCCAAGUUGCCUGAAUUGUACCAUGUGAUGGGAUUCUUUUCAAAGGAAACUGGAGAGUUCAGCAGUAUUCUGAAACAACUAGGUGUGGCAACACAAAGAACAAAAAUAACGAAAGAAAACCCUUCAAAGAUAGUGUGCCCCCUGGAAACAGACAGUCUGCCUUUUCACUUUGGGCAUAUGGGAGAUUCUUUUAAGCUGAGUUGUAAGGGUGAAAGGGCUGUUGAGUUUUGGCGAAGCAAAUUUAGAAAAUCAGUUAGCUAAUAGAGAGGGUAGAAGACUGUGAACUAUAAUUUUGGCUAAGUGAAUAGAAUAGGUUUCUUUAAUGAUAAUUAUUUUUAAUGAAUUUUUGUAAAGAGAAACUAUUGAA